AAGACUAUACAAAUUUUAGUUAGUUGUAACCAACUUAUUUUAAUUAGCAAAGCAAAUUAUGUGCACUGGGUCGCCCAGCAGCAAUGACUCCCAGUCGGAGGAGGCCAAUGCCACUACCGAGCAGCAGCAACAGCCGGAGCAAGAGGCAACGGAACAGCCUAUUAGAACGCCCACGCAUGCAAUUGUGGCGGCUGCCAAGGCAGAGGAGAUCCUGGCCGAGUACGGCAGCAAUCUAAAGCUACUGGAGUGCAACUCCCAAGUGUCCGAGCUGCUCACCAUCAUCCGAGACAAGAACACCACCCGCAGCGAUUUCAAGUUCUAUGCCGACCGGCUGAUUCGGUUGGUGAUUGAAGAGUCCCUCAACCAGCUUCCCUACACGGACUGCGACGUGGAGACUCCCACAGGUGCCAUUUACGAGGGACUCAAAUAUCGAUCCGGCAACUGCGGCGUCUCCAUAAUUCGGUCUGGCGAGGCCAUGGAGCAGGGCCUGCGGGAUUGCUGUCGGUCGAUAAGGAUAGGCAAGAUCCUGGUCGAAUCGGAUGCGAAUACACACGAGGCCAGGGUGGUCUAUGCCCGGUUUCCCGAUGACAUUGGCAGUAGGCAGGUCCUACUGAUGUAUCCGAUUAUGUCCACCGGCAACACUGUGCUCCAGGCUGUGAACGUUCUGCGCGAGCAUGGAGUACCCGAAAAGUGCAUCAUACUGUCGAAUCUGUUCUGCACACCUGUGGCCGCCCGCACUGUGGUCAAUGCGUUCCCCCAGCUGAAGAUCCUCACCUCAGAGCUGCAUCCCGUGGCGCCCAAUCACUUCGGACAGAAAUACUUUGGUACAGACUAGAUGAUAGGUCAGAGGAGAAGUCACAUCAGAGCGACGCGCAAGCGAGCAACCACAACAGACUUGACAACUAAGCGCUGCUUAGGAUAGGUAGUAUGGCAUUUGAAUCGACAGCUGCGUCGGCGACAGCGAGCAAAUUACCCAAACUUCUUUCACAACUGGCUUUUAAUGCAACUCUCAAAACCGUAAAUCAGUUAACUUAACUGUGUAAAUAUAUAGCGGGAGCAUAAAUAAAUAUAUAAAACAGU